GGGUGAGAGCCGUGAGACCGAGACUGGUCCACGCUGGCCUCUCCGUAAAUGUUUGUUCUUUCAUAUCAGCGCACCAUAUUUGAAUACAUAUUAAUUAUCACUAUUUUCAACAAGCAAGAUACUCCCUCGUUUCAGUACCCUUCAUUCAUUCUUGACAUCUUGCCAGUUUCACCAAGGUUGCCUCUGACUGCUUGAUCAAACCGAAGAUGCAUAGGAGGGGCACUUCACGAUGUAAGGCUUCAUCAUCUAAUCAAAACAUGACCUGUGAAUCUGCCGGCACUACAAGUAAGGCAAUUCCUUUGGAAACUUGUAAGUUGAGCGAUGAUCUGAAUUUGCUUCAAUUGAUGCUAAGAGACGCUUGAUUAUCUUAGACGAUGUAUGCAAGGUGGACAGUGAGCGAUGGGAUCUUCUAUGCUGACCCCUUUCAGCCGCCCGUGGAGUUAAGAUAGUUAUCACAACAAGAAACGAUGGCGUCCCAUCGAUUAGGGGGUGGCUUUUCACACCACCAUCUAGAGGCAUUAUCGGAAUAUGAUUGCCAGUCAAUGUCUGCACAUCAUGUUUUAGGAAAAGAAAAAUUUGAUGCAACCCAAAUCUGCAAGCUUUUGGGUAAGAAUAGCAAGCUAGCUAGUGUAAGGGCUUACCGUUGGCCGCAAAAUUUUUUGAGGGGAAGCUGCGUUCCACUCUAAACUAUGAUGAAUGGGAAAAGAUAUCAAAUUGUGAGAUAUGGGAUAUAUAUACAUGAGAGAAUGAAUGGAGUUUUUCCACCCCUAUGUUGCCACAACAGGAUAGUUUUUUAUGGUAGCCGACGGAUUUGUACCAUUUGUUGCGGCACUAAUUUGUCAUUUGAGGAGUUAACUGGAUGUACUGAUGGCUGCUGCAAUAUUCCGAAUAAGCUGAGGAAAUCAUGUAGCAGCUAGUACUUCAAUGCAAUGGAGUCCUGGGUUAGAUGAGGCAAUUCAGUGCCUGAUUGUGAGCACUCUUCGACUUUCAAACACCGAUCAUUUUGCAGUUUCCAUGGAGGAGUAUUCAACGAAUGAACAAGGAUCUUCUCAUGGUUUGGCCACAUUGACUGUGGAAAAACAAGUGGGGAUUCCAGAUCUUGGAGCACUUUUCGUAUCUUCUUUCUGUAGAGCUUUUGGCUGGCUCGGAUAAUUCAGGUAUGGAAUAUUAUAUCUCAUAUAUAUCGUAGCUAGCUAGCAGUACUGCAAUAAAAUCUGCAUAUUUUGGCACACCUGCAAUGAAUUGUAUGCAGUAGAAGCGAGGUGUGCUUAUAAUUAAUUUCUACAUUAAUUAUAAUCACUAGCUAGAUAUUGCUCCAUAUAUAUAUAUAUAUUGGCAUAAUCAGUCAGUUGAAUGCACAAGUCCUGUGUUUUAUAUAGAUAAAUCCAACAGAACUUAAUCAUGAUCAGAUCAACAAAAAGGGAAAUGAGGGGGGGAAUAUAUAUCAAUAGCAGUAUUAGGAAAUACGGUAUGAUCAAUGCGAAAGGUGAGUCGUAGGCGAGUCAGGUUGUUUUAUAUAGACAUAGUCAUGGUUGGGCGAAGAACACAUCUGCAGUAAGAUCGACCAAAUUCCUCCUGGAGUUGGUGAUGGAGCUGUAGUACUGAGUGUGGGGUUCAAUUUCUAAGACCUAGGCUAGGCUGCAAUAUUGAGCUUGGGUGGCCAAACUACUCUUGGUCCAGGUGAAUGCAUCAAAAUCUAGAUGAGAUUCUAUCAAUUUCUUUUUAUUUAAUUUUUCUCUAUAAAAUAUUAUUUAAUUUUAAAAAUUGUCUCCAACAACGCUAUUUUAAAUAAAAAUUUAAAAAAAUUUAUUGAUUUGCAAGUUGACCUAUCCCACCUGUAAUCUAAUUUUGAACCAAGUCUCUUAGCCAUGUAUGGGAUUGAUAC